UCCGGUAUGGUGUAACGGCUAACAUUGUCGCCUUUCAGUAUUUACGUUCGAGUUACGUAAUUUACUCGCGCGACGGCUCGGGGUUCGAUUCCCCGUACCGGAG